rnacentral:rRNA from 1 species
CUCUUUCUCGAUUCAGUGGAUGGUGGUGCAUGGCCGUUCUUAGUUGGUGGAGUGAUCUGUCUGGUUAAUUCCGAUAACGAACGAGACUCUCCCCUGCUAACUAGUCGGUUGGAUCUUGAUCAGCGGGUUGCGUGCCGAGUAACUCUCGCUGUGCGGGUGGUGCGUCUCGGGCCUCACGGUUCGUUGCGUGCUCUCGUGUGGCGUUGGAUGCCUUGGAUCACACUGCACCCCAAGUCUGCCGCUUAUGCUAUAACUCUUCUUAGAGGGAUUCACGGCACUGAAGCCGUAAGAGACUGAGAGCAAUAACAGGUCUGUGAUGCCCUUAGAUGCUCUGGGCCGCACGCGCGCUACAAUGCCGGGCACAGCAGGUGUUUCUCCUGCUCCGACAGGAGCGGGUAACCCUCUGAAAGCCAGUGUUCUUGCAAGUGAUUCCUCCCUCGUGGAGUUUCACAGAGGCGUGCUUGGGCCUGGGACUUGCAAUUCUUUCCCACCAACGAGGAAUGCCUAGUAACGGCGGGUCACUGAGCCCGCUGUGACUCAGUCCCUGCCCUUUGUACACACCGCCCGUCGCUACUACCGAUUGGGUGUACCAGUGAGAGCCUUGGACUGGCGUCCGUUGUUGCUCGCAAGAGUGACAAGCGGGUCCGACGGAAAGAGGUCCGAACUGGUGCACUUAGAGGAAGUAAAAGUCGUAACAAGGUUUCCGUAGGUGAACCUGCGGAAGGGAUCA